rnacentral:rRNA from 1 species
GACGAACGCUGGCGGCGUGCUUAACACAUUCAAGUCGAACGGUAAGGCCCUUCGGGGUACACGAGUGGCCAACGGGGGAGUACCACGUCGGUGAUCUGCCCUGCACUUCGGGCUAAACCUGGGAAACCUGGGCUAAUACCGGAUAGGACUCCGGACUGCAUGGUCACGUGUGGAACGCUUUUGCGGUGUGGGAUGGGCCCGCGGCCUAUCACCUUGUUGGUGGGGUGCUGGACUACCAAGGCGACGACGGGUAGCCGGCCUGAGAGGGUGACCGGCCACACUGGGACUGAGAUACGGCCCAGACUACUACGGGAGGCAGCAGUGGGGAAUAUUGCACAAUGGGCGCAAGCCUGAUGCAGCGACUCCGCGUGAGGGAUGGCGGCCUUCGGGUUGUAAACCUCUUUCAGCAUCGACGAAGCGUAAGUGACGGUAGGUGCAGAAGAAGGACCGGCCAACUACGUGCCAGCCGCCGCCGUAA